rnacentral:rRNA from 1 species
GACUAUAAGUCUCCUGAAGGAACGUUAAAGACGAUGACGUUGAUAGGCCGGGUGUGUAAGCGCAGCGAUGCGUUGAGCUAACCGGUACUAAUGAACCGUGAGGCUUAACCUUACAACGCCGAAG